UGUGGCCUUGAGCCGUGGCUUUCGGAGCUAACGCGUUAAGUAGACCGCCUGGGGAGUACGGUCGCAAGAUUAAAACUCAAAUGAAUUGACGGGGGCCCGCACAAGCGGUGGAGCAUGUGGUUUAAUUCGAUGCAACGCGAAGANCCUUACCUACUCUUGACAUCCAGAGAAGCCAGCUACGACCNGGUGUGCCUUCGGGAGCUCUGAGACAGGUGCUGCAUGGCUGUCGUCAGCUCGUGUUGUGAAAUGUUGGGUUAAGUCCCGCAACGAGCGCAACCCUUAUCCUUGUUUGCCAGCGAGUAAUGUCGGGAACUCCAGGGAGACUGCCGGUGAUAAACCGGAGGAAGGUGGGGACGACGUCAAGUCAUCAUGGCCCUUACGAGUAGGGCUACACACGUGCUNCAAUGGCGCAUACAGAGGGCAGCAAGCUAGCGAUAGUGAGCGAAUCCCAAAAAGUGCGUCGUAGUCCGGAUUGGAGUCUGCAACUCGACUCCAUGAAGUCGUAUCGUAGAUCUGC
rnacentral:rRNA from 1 species